ACGAACUUCAGUUUUAUAAAUUCUUUCGUGAAGAAAACAUAAAAUCAAGAAAAAAACUUUAAAAUAUUUCCUAAAGACCGCAUAAAAAUAUAAUUUUAAGAAAAUAUACUUAUAUCUAUAUAGCUAAGUUUGCUUUUGCAGCUUUUAAAACUCUACUAAGAUGUGUUGCGGUUGCGGAUGCCCCAAGAUCACCAUCUACACAUGCUGCACCAAGAUCUGCUGAGCAUGUCUCCCGGCAUUCGACGCCGCGCCCCCCGCGGCCGGCUCGCGCCCACGUGGCGCCAGCGUCAACUCGACGACGUCGACCCGGACCAAGAAGCCUGAAGCCAGGGCCCGUGCUUUUGUGAAUGCAGUUAUAGUGCCGUUAAUAAAGUGGAUUGAGUAGA